rnacentral:rRNA from 1 species
UACGUAGGCAGCAAGCGUUGUUCGGAAUUACUGGGCGUAAAGAGUGUGUAGGCGGUGCUCUAAGUUCGGUGUGAAAUCUCCCGGCUUAACUGGGAGGGUGCGCCGGAAACUGGAGUGCUCGAGCGUGGGAGAGGAAAGCGGAAUUCCUGGUGUAGCGGUGAAAUGCGCAGAUAUCAGGAAGAACACCCGUGGCGAAGGCGGCUCUCUGGAACGCAACUGACGCUGAGACGCGAAAGCGUGGGGAGCAAACAGG